UACGUAGGGGGCAAGCGUUGUCCGGAAUUAUUGGGCGUAAAGAGCUCGUAGGUGGCCUGUCGCGUCGGCUGUGAAAACUCGGGGCUCAACUCCGAGCUUGCAGUCGAUACGGGCAGGCUAGAGUUCGGCAGGGGAGACUGGAAUUCCUGGUGUAGCGGCGAAAUGCGCAGAUAUCAGGAGGAACACCGGUGGCGAAGGCGGGUCUCUGGGCCGAUACUGACACUGAGGAGCGAAAGCGUGGGGAGCGAACAGG
rnacentral:rRNA from 1 species